rnacentral:rRNA from 1 species
AACGAACGCUGGCGGCAGGCCUAACACAUGCAAGUCGAACGCUCCGCAAGGGGAGUGGCGCACGGGUGAGUAACACGUGGGAACCUACCUUCUGGUACGGAACAACCAAGGGAAACUUUGGCUAAGACCGUAUACGACCUCCGGGUGAAAGAUUGAUCGCCGGAAGAGGGGCCCGCGUCCGAUUAGGUAGUUGGUGAGGUAACGGCUCACCAAGCCUUCGAUCGGUAGCUGGUCUGAGAGGAUGACCAGCCACACUGGGACUGAGACACGGCCCAGACUCCUACGGGAGGCAGCAGUGGGGAAUAUUGGACAAUGGGCGCAAGCCUGAUCCAGCCAUGCCGCGUGAGUGAUGAAGGCCUUCGGUUGUAAGU